rnacentral:rRNA from 1 species
UACGUAGGGUGCGAGCGUUGUCCGGAAUUAUUGGGCGUAAAGGGCUCGUAGGCGGUCUGUUGCGUCAGGAGCGAAAACUCGGGGCUUAACCCCGAGCCUGCUUCUGAUACGGGCAGACUAGAGGUAUGCAGGGGAGAACGGAAUCCUGGUGUAGCGGUGAAAUGCGCAGAUAUCAGGAGGAACACCGAUGGCGAAGGCAGAUCUCUGGGCCGUAACUGACGCUGAGGAGCGAAAGCAUGGGGAGCGAACAGG